rnacentral:rRNA from 1 species
CAAUAGCGUAUAUUAAAGUUGUUGCAGUUAAAAAGCUCGUAGUUGGAUUUCUGGUGGGAGCACGGGUCGGCCCUCACGGGUUGUACUGUUGUUGCGUCCCGCGUUCGGUAGGGAAGUAGGUCGUCCGCUAUUAAGUUAAGUCGUGAGUCGGGAACUCUGUCGUUUACUGUGAAAAAAUUAGAGUGUUCAAAGCAGGCCUUCGCUGUGAAUACAUUAGCAUGGAAUAAUAAGAUAGGACUGUAGUGCUAUUUUGUUGGUUUGCGUACUAUGGUAAUGAUUAAUAGGGAUAGUUGGGGGUAUUCAUAUUCAAUUGUCAGAGGUGAAAUUCUUGGAUUUAUGGAAGAUGAACUACUGCGAAAGCAUUUACCAAGGAUGUUUUCAUUAAUCAAGAACGAAAGUUAGGGGAUCGAAGACGAUCAGAUACCGU